rnacentral:rRNA from 1 species
UACGAAGGGGGCUAGCGUUGUUCGGAAUUACUGGGCGUAAAGCGCACGUAGGCGGACAUUUAAGUCAGGGGUGAAAUCCCAGAGCUCAACUCUGGAACUGCCUUUGAUACUGGGUGUCUUGAGUGUGGAAGAGGUCAGUGGAAUUGCGAGUGUAGAGGUGAAAUUCGUAGAUAUUCGCAGGAACACCAGUGGCGAAGGCGGCUGACUGGUCCACAACUGACGCUGAGGUGCGAAAGCGUGGGGAGCAAACAGGAUUAGAUACCCCCGUAGUCC